rnacentral:rRNA from 6 species
UAAGGCGACUAUACUGGGAGUGCUCCACCCGUUCCCAUCCCGAACACGGAAGUGAAAUCUCCUAAGGCCGAUGAUAGUGGGUUUUCCCGCGAAAGUAGGUAGUUGUCUUAC